CAACCAAGAGAUGAAAUCUCGGUUCUUUCUCUCUCAUUUUCACGGCUUCUGUUCCUCAAUUCCUCCACCCAAAUCAGCAGCCUCUCUUCCCAAAUCUCGCCAGCGCCGCUCAAGACCUCUCUCUCUCUCUCGCCCGCUCUACGCGAGCUCCGCCGCGAACGGCUCCGGCGAGAACGACGGCCAGCCGAGGACAUCGCCCCUGAUCUGCCGUCGCCGCUCCGUACUCUGACCAUUCCAGCCGCCGGCGAGGCCAGCGUUGCUCAGAACCCCGACGUCGGUCUGCUCCCUCAUCUCCUCUCUCUCGAUUUACCUCUCAAACUCGACUGAGAGGAGGAGCCCUAGCUUUCCCUGAGAUCGAAUCCUCCGCCGUUUCUGUAAGUCCGGCGACCGCUAGUUGUCGUCCCCCCCUCCAAACUUGGUGUCUCGGCCUCAAAUCCGUGUUCGGGAAGAAGAGAGUGGAAGGGCGAGCCCUAAUCGUCAAAUACCAGGUCGCCGCUGCACCGCGUCUCCAUCAGAAUCUGAUGGCUGGUCGCCGUGGCUCUGUAAAUCCGGCAACUGACUGCCGGUUUCGCUCUCCUCCACGAAUCGCCGCCAUCUCCUUCGCGUUCCUCCGGCGACCAGGGUAAAGUCCGCCUUCGUUGUUCUCCGGGGUCGACGGGGUUCGAUUUGUGCCACGCCACCGCCGCUGCUGCUACUGGAGGCCGGCUUCGCCGUUGCUGUCGCUGUUCCCGGCGAAGGGUGUCGCCUCGCCUACUCCUCGGCGCCGUUAAAUCCCGAUUCAGAGCAGGGCAAUCGGCCCUAUUUCUUAAGCUAAGUUCUCUAGUUUCAUUCUACUAUUGUAUCUUGAUUCAUUUGCUUAUGAUGUGAAAGUUUAAUACGAGGGGUUGUGGUUUUUCCUAAUUCCGUUUAUAAGCCGUGGAAAUUUUGCUACUGUGCUAAAUGAAUAACAGCGUUGUUAUAUGCUCGUCAAUGAGCCCUGUGUUGGAUUAUGAGCUAAGGUGUAUUCUUUCUUUGUUUUGCAUAAACUCAUAUGCUUGUUGUUCUAGAGUGCAGCCUGUUUGUGAAGUUUAUACUUUCUAUUGUACGAAAUAUCUAGGCUAUUUGAUGUAGAUGAACUGUGAUAUGCUAGAUAUGGAUGCAAACUGAGUUGAAUAUUUGGGAUAUCAAAUUACCUUGAGUAUUUUGUGUUGGUAGCUGCUGUUGUUGAUAAUGAAUUCAAUGGAGAAGAAACUCUCGAUACUUGGCAGUUGGCAGCAGGAACUUCAUCUCCCUUUCUGGUGCUUGGUGUAUGAGAGAAGGAAUGAAGUAAGUGGAAAGUUUGGUGGAGAAAAAGGGUGGUGGUGCAGGCUAGUGCGUAGGUCUCAUUUUUGUUAAGUGGAGGUAGUGGUUGAUAAAUAAUUAGAUAGUGGAAGAUGAUUGUCUUAAGCAUGAUCUUCCUCCUAAAGCCAGCAAAUUCGAGAGUUUUAUUUUUUUACCCAAAUGUACUGCGUCACUCUUGCUGCCAGUGGUGAACUUAUAUGCAAAGAUUUCUUCUUGUACUCAGAAAAAAAAAAUCAAUUACUGCAUUGAUUGAUAGUGGUGGUUGAAGUUCUAAUUGUAAAUAAUAAUAAAUCUUUGUGUCUUGGUUA